UAACCUGCCCAAGAGACUGUGAUAACACCUGGAAACAGAUGCUAAUACCGGAUAACAACACUAGACGCAUGUCUAGAGUUUAAAAGAUGGUUCUGCUAUCACUCCUGGAUGGACCUGCGGUGCAUUAGCUAGUUGGUAAGGUAACGGCUUACCAAGGCAAUGAUGCAUAGCCGAGUUGAGAGACUGAUCGGCCACAUUGGGACUGAGACACGGCCCAAACUCCUACGGAAGGCAGCAG
rnacentral:rRNA from 1 species